rnacentral:rRNA from 1 species
AACGGGUGAGUAACACGUGAGUAACCUGCCCUGGACUCUGGGAUAACCCCGAGAAAUCGGAGCUAAUACCGGAUAGGACCUGGAACCGCAUGGUUUUGGGUGGAAAGUUUUUCGGUCUGGGAUGGACUCGCGGCCUAUCAGCUUGUUGGUGAGGUAAUGGCUCACCAAGGCGUCGACGGGUAGCCGGCCUGAGAGGGUGACCGGCCACACUGGGACUGAGACACGGCCCAGACUCCUACGGGAGGCAGCAGUGGGGAAUAUUGCACAAUGGGCGCAAGCCUGAUGCAGCAACGCCGCGUGAGGGAUGACGGCCUUCGGGUUGUAAACCUCUUUUAGUAGGGAAGAAGGGCUUCGGCUUGACGGUACCUGCAGAAAAAGCACCGGCUAACUACGUGCCAGCAGCCGCGGUAAUACGUAGGGUGCGAGCGUUGUCCGGAAUUAUUGGGCGUAAAGAGCUCGUAGGCGGUUUGUCACGUCUGCUGUGAAAUCCCGAGGCUCAACCUCGGGCCUGCAGUGGGUACGGGCAGACUGGAGUGCGGUAGGGGAGAAUGGAAUUCCUGGUGUAGCGGUGGAAUGCGCAGAUAUCAGGAGGAACACCGAUGGCGAAGGCAGUUCUCUGGGCCGUAACUGACGCUGAGGAGCGAAAGCGUGGGGAGCGAACAGGAUUAGAUACCCUGGUAGUCCACGCCGUAAACGUUGGGCGCUAGAUGUGGGGACCUUUCCACGGUUUCCGUGUCGUAGCUAACGCAUUAAGCGCCCCGCCUGGGGAGUACGGCCGCAAGGCUAAAACUCAAAGGAAUUGACGGGGGCCCGCACAAGCGGCGGAGCAUGCGGAUUAAUUCGAUGCAACGCGAAGAACCUUACCAAGGCUUGACAUAACCGAGAACGCCGCAGAAAUGUGGAACUCUUUGGACACUCGGUUACAGGUGGUGCAUGGUUGUCGUCAGCUCGUGUCGUGAGAUGUUGGGUUAAGUCCCGCAACGAGCGCAACCCUCGUCGUAUGUUGCCAGCACGUAAUGGUGGGAACUCAUAUGAGACUGCCGGGGUCAACUCGGAGGAAGGUGGGGAUGACGUCAAAUCAUCAUGCCCCUUAUGUCUUGGGCUUCACGCAUGCUACAAUGGCCGGUACAAAGGGCUGCGAUGUCGUAAGGCGGAGCGAAUCCCAAAAAGCCGGUCUCAGUUCGGAUUGAGGUCUGCAACUCGACCUCAUGAAGUCGGAGUCGCUAGUAAUCGCAGAUCAGCAACGCUGCGGUGAAUACGUUCCCGGGCCUUGUACACACCGCCCGUCAAGUCA